CAGGCCUAACACAUGCAAGUCGAACGAGAGACUCUUCGGAGUAGUAAAGUGGCGAACGGGUGAGUAAUACAUGGGUAAUCUGCCUUUGAGCGGGGGAUAACCAGCCGAAAGGCUGGCUAAUACCCCAUACGCUUCCGGUCCCUCGGGUAAGGAAGGAAAGCUGCAUCGUGGAUGUGGCACUCGAAGAUGGGCUCAUGGCCUAUCAGCUUGUUGGUGGGGUAACGGCCUACCAAGGCAACGACGGGUAGCUGGUCUGAGAGGACGAUCAGCCACACUGGCACUGAGAUACGGGCCAGACUCCUACGGGAGGCAGCAGUGAGGAAUAUUGCGCAAUGGGCGAAAGCCUGACGCAGCGACGCCGCGUGGGGGAAGAAGGUUUUCGGAUUGUAAACCCCUUUUAGGAGGAAAGAUGGGGUGGGUUUCCACCCGGACGGUACCUCCAGAAAAAGCCACGGCUAACUCCGUGCCAGCAGCCGCGGUAAUACGGAGGGUGCGAGCGUUAAUCAGAAUUACUGGGCGUAAAGGGCGAGUAGGUGGUACGGUCAGUCGGGUGUGAAAGCCCCGGGCUCAACCUGGGAAUUGCAUUCGAUACUGCCGAGCUGGAGUGUGGUAGAGGGAAGCGGAAUUCCGGGUGUAGCGGUGAAAUGCGUAGAUAUCCGGAGGAACACCAGUGGCGAAGGCGGCUUCCUGGACCAACACUGACACUGAGUCGCGAAAGCGUGGGGAGCA
rnacentral:rRNA from 1 species